UACGUAGGGUGCGAGCGUUGUCCGGAAUUACUGGGCGUAAAGGGCUCGUAGGCGGCCAACUAAGUCAUACGUGAAAUCCCCCGGCUUAACCGGGGAACUGCGUCUGAUACUGGAUGGCUUGAGUUCGGGAGAGGGAUGCGGAAUUCCAGGUGUAGCGGUGAAAUGCGCAGAUAUCGGGAGGAACACCGGUGGCGAAGGCGGUUCUCUGGGCCUUACCUGACGCUGAGGAGCGAAAGCGUGGGGAGCGAACAGG
rnacentral:rRNA from 1 species